CUAACUUCGUCUUCCAUUUUAUGUAGGAUGCUAAUCUAGAGCUGCCACAGAGAAUCGUACUUCAAUGUUGGCUUCAUGGAUCCAUCACUUGUUAACCAAAAGCAGAUACGGGAUUAGCUAGACAAAACAUUGGAGGCAGUAUACAAUUUCAUGGACAAACAACAUUACAAGAGUUACAUACUACUGCCAUACAACUUUGAUUUCCACUGGAUCCUCAUAAUAAUUGAGAUUGAUAGAAGCCACGUCAUUGUGUUCGAUUCGUUGAGGAAACCACCGAAGAAGUACCAGGACAUUCAAGGCAUGAUAAACUCCGUAUGGAAAUUAUUCCUUACGAAACACCAUGGUCCAUUCAGAGAAAAACUUUCAUUCAGAACAGACUUCUCGGUAGUGUUUAAGGCAGGAAUCCGGGAAUAAUCUAUGUGGAUAUUACGACUGUGAGCACCUGCACAAUUUUGUGGGACCCAAGGUGCUGACGUAGCAUGAUAUGAAAAUGUGGAAUAUUCAACAUAGCAUCUUGGAGAAGGAGAGAAUAGGGGCAAUAUGUGAAGGAUUCCUAGUGGACCGGGUGAUAAAUCCAGAGGGAGAAUUUCAUUACAAUGGACAUUUAGUAGACGCACCGAGCAACACCACGAAAGUGGAUCCUAGGAAUGAAGUGGACAAAUUUUUGUAUAUAUAGUAAUUGUAUAAAUACUAGUUUGAUUUGUAUAAUACGCUAAUAAUUGUAUAUACAUAUAUAUACA